rnacentral:lncRNA from 1 species
UUGUUGGGUACCAUGAAUUGAUUUUGCUUCACACUAUCUUGAUGAAGAUAGUGUGAAGCUUUUGAGAUUUUAUAGUUGUCCUCCAUUGAUGAAGCUUUGUUGAAUUUCCUUUUUUUUUUUUGGGAAACUAAAAAUUUGAAAAUGUGGGAGAGAGAACAUAUACAAAUUUUGCUUCCACACUUUUGAGCAAGAGAUUGUGAUGCAAACCACACUUUAUAGUAAUCGAAAGUUUGGAUAAACCAUAUAAAUUGAAUUUGCUUCGAAGGUUUGAGAAUUGUAGUUGCCCUCCAUUGAUGAAGCUUUUGUUGACACCAUAAAUUGGUUUUGCUUCACACUAUCUUGAUCAAGAGUGUGUGAAGCUUUUGAGAAUUGUGGUUAAACUACUUUGAUGAAGCUUUUGUUGGCACCAUAAAUUGGUCUUGCUUCACACUGUCUUGAUCAAGAGUGUGUGAAGCUUUUGAGAAUUGUGGUUGCCCUACAUUGAUGAAGCUCUUGUUGGCACCAUAAAUUGGUUUUGCUUCACACUGUCUUGAUCAAGAGUGUGAAGCUUUUGAGAAUUGUGGUUGCCCUCCAUUGAAGAAGCUCUUGUUGGCGCCAUAAAUUGAUUUUGCUUCACACUAUCUUGAUCAAGAGUGUGUGAAGCUUUUGAGAAUUAUGGUUGAACUCCUUUGAUGAAGCUCUUGUUGGCACCAUAAAAUUGGUUUUGCUUCACACUGUCUUGAUCAAGAAUGUGUGAAGCUUUUGAGAAUUGUGGUUGCCCUCCAUUGAUGAAGCUCUUGUUGGCACCAUAAAUUGGUUUUGCUUCACACUGUCUUGAUCAAGAGUGUGUGAAGCUUUUGAGAAUUGUGGUUGAACUCCUUUGAUGAAGCUCUUGUUGGCACCAUAAAUUGGUUUUGCUUCACAUUGUCUUAAUCAAGAGUGUGUGAAGCUUUUGAGAAUUGUGGUUUAACUCCUUUGAUGAAGCUCUUGGUAGCACUAUAAAUUGGUUUUGCUUCACACUGUCUUGAUCAAGAGUGUGUGAAGCAUUCUACGAGUUGCAGUGUUUGCAUUGUUACAGAGGGGAAAUGUUUAAAGCAAAUGCAAGAGGGCUGAAUAGCUUGAUCUUCGUAUACCAUGCACUGAAGUUGUUGUUGGCUUGCAAUAAGACUUUGUUGGUGACUAUAACUCUUGUUGGGCAUAAGUGCUCCCCUAGUUGAGUUGUCAAGCUUGAGGGUUUUUUAUUAUUUGUGAAUGCUAGGAGUUCAUAUGUACAAGUUGUACUACUCAUCUUCUGGUAGGUGGAAUGAAUGGUGAGUUCCUUCAUCACCUUUCAUCACUUGGUUGGUGGUACGAAGGUGAGUUCCUUCAUCACGUUUCAUCACAUUUCAUCACUUGGUUGGUGGCACAAGGAUGGGUUCCUUCUUCCCCUGGUUGGUGCCAUGAAUGGCAAGUUUCCAAAUGAUAGUAGAGUACGGGUUGUACAUUUCAUCACCUGGUUGGUGGCAUGAAGGAGAGUACGAGUUGUACAUUUCAUCACCUGGUUGGUGGCAUGAAGAUGAGUUCCUUCUUCACCUGGUUGGUGGCAUGAGUGGCAAGUUGCCAAAUGAUAUUAGAGUACGGGUUGUACAUUUCAUCACCUGGUUGGUGGCAUGAAGGAGAGUAUGGGUUGUACAUUUCAUCACCUGGUUGGUGGCAUGAACGGUAAGUUGCCAAUUGAUAUUAGAGUACGGGUUAUACAUUUCAUCACCUGGUUGGUGGCAUGAAGGAGAGUACGGGUUGUACAUUUCAUCACUUGGUUGGUGGUAGGAAGAUGAGUUUCUUCUUCACCUGGUUGGUGGCAUGAGUGGCAAGUUGCCAAAUGAUAUUAGAGUGCGAGUUGUACAUUUCAUCACCUAGUUGGUGGCAUGAAGGAGAGUACGGGUUGUACAUUUCAUCACCUGGUUGGUGGCAUGAAGAUGAGUUCCUUCUUCACCUGGUUGGUGGCAUGAGUGGUAAGUUGGCAAAUGAUAUUAGAGUACGGGUUGUACAUUUCAUCACCUGGUUGGUGGCAUGAAGAAGAGUACGGGUUGUACAUUUCAUCACCUGGUUGGUGGCAUGAAGAUGAGUUCAUUCUUGACCUGGUUGGUGGCAUGAGUGGCAAGUUGCCAAAUGAUAUUAGAGUAUGUUGGAAAUAUGCCCUGAAAGUCAAUCUUUGCAAGAAACCUUUCAGGACAAAUGAAUCGAUGUAUAGAUGACUCUUAUACAUCAAAUGGCAAAGAUACUAAUUA